AUUGAACGCUGGCGGCAGGCCUAACACAUGCAAGUCGAACGAGUGGCGGACGGGUGAGUAAUGUCUGGGAAACUGCCUGAUGGAGGGGGAUAACUACUGGAAACGGUAGCUAAUACCGCAUACCAUCGGAUGUGCCCAGAUGGGAUUAGCUAGUAGGGGGGGGAAAGGCGCACCUAGGCGACGAUCCCUAGCUGGUCUGAGAGGAUGACCAUCCACACUGGAACGGAGACACGUUCCAGACGCCUACGGGCGGCUGCAGUGGUGAAUAUUGCAUAAUGGGCGCAAGCCUGAUGCAGCCAUGACGCGUGUAUGAAGAAGGCCUUCGGGGUGGAAAGUACUUUCAGCGGUGAGGCGUUACCCGCAGAAGAAGCACCGGCUAACUCCGUGCCAGCAGCCGCGGUAAUUC
rnacentral:rRNA from 1 species